rnacentral:rRNA from 1 species
UUUUCUUUCACCGGAGCUUGCUCCACCGAAAGAAAAGGAGUGGCGAACGGGUGAGUAACACGUGGGUAACCUGCCCAUCAGAAGGGGAUAACACUUGGAAACAGGUGCUAAUACCGUAUAACAAUCGAAACCGCAUGGUUUUGAUUUGAAAGGCGCUUUCGGGUGUCGCUGAUGGAUGGACCCGCGGUGCAUUAGCUAGUUGGUGAGGUAACGGCUCACCAAGGCCACGAUGCAUAGCCGACCUGAGAGGGUGAUCGGCCACAUUGGGACUGAGACACGGCCCAAACUCCUACGGGAGGCAGCAGUAGGGAAUCUUCGGCAAUGGACGAAAGUCUGACCGAGCAACGCCGCGUGAGUGAAGAAGGUUUUCGGAUCGUAAAACUCUGUUGUUAGAGAAGAACAAGGAUGAGAGUAACUGUUCAUCCCUUGACGGUAUCUAACCAGAAAGCCACGGCUAACUACGUGCCAGCAGCCGCGGUAAUACGUAGGUGGCAAGCGUUGUCCGGAUUUAUUGGGCGUAAAGCGAGCGCAGGCGGUUUCUUAAGUCUGAUGUGAAAGCCCCCGGCUCAACCGGGGAGGGUCAUUGGAAACUGGGAGACUUGAGUGCAGAAGAGGAGAGUGGAAUUCCAUGUGUAGCGGUGAAAUGCGUAGAUAUAUGGAGGAACACCAGUGGCGAAGGCGACUCUCUGGUCUGUAACUGACGCUGAGGCUCGAAAGCGUGGGGAGCAAACAGGAUUAGAUACCCUGGUAGUCCACGCCGUAAACGAUGAGUGCUAAGUGUUGGAGGGUUUCCGCCCUUCAGUGCUGCAGCUAACGCAUUAAGCACUCCGCCUGGGGAGUACGACCGCAAGGUUGAAACUCAAAGGAAUUGACGGGGGCCCGCACAAGCGGUGGAGCAUGUGGUUUAAUUCGAAGCAACGCGAAGAACCUUACCAGGUCUUGACAUCCUUUGACCACUCUAGAGAUAGAGCUUCCCCUUCGGGGGCAAAGUGACAGGUGGUGCAUGGUUGUCGUCAGCUCGUGUCGUGAGAUGUUGGGUUAAGUCCCGCAACGAGCGCAACCCUUAUUGUUAGUUGCCAUCAUUUAGUUGGGCACUCUAGCAAGACUGCCGGUGACAAACCGGAGGAAGGUGGGGAUGACGUCAAAUCAUCAUGCCCCUUAUGACCUGGGCUACACACGUGCUACAAUG